rnacentral:rRNA from 1 species
AUUGAACGCUGGCGGAAUGCUUUACACAUGCAAGUCGAACGGCAGCACGGGGCAACCUGGUGGCGAGUGGCGAACGGGUGAGUAAUACAUCGGAACGUGCCCAAUCGUGGGGGAUAACGUAGCGAAAGUUACGCUAAUACCGCAUACGAUCUACGGAUGAAAGCGGGGGAUCGCAAGACCUCGCGCGAAUGGAGCGGCCGAUGUCAGAUUAGGUAGUUGGUGGGGUAAAGGCUCACCAAGCCGACGAUCUGUAGCUGGUCUGAGAGGACGACCAGCCACACUGGGACUGAGACACGGCCCAGACUCUUACGGGAGGCAGCAGUGGGGAAUUUUGGACAAUGGGCGAAAGCCUGAUCCAGCAAUGCCGCGUGCAGGAUGAAGGCC